rnacentral:rRNA from 1 species
CUGCUGCCUCCCGUAGGAGUUUGGACCGUGUCUCAGUUCCAAUGUGGGGGACCUUCCUCUUAGAACCCCUAUCCAUCGAUGCCUUGGUGGGCCGUUACCCCGCCAACAAGCUAAUGGAACGCAUCCCCAUCGAUGACCGAAAUUCUUUAAUAGUUCUACCAUGCGGAAGAACUAUGCCAUCGGGUAUUAAUCUUUCUUUCGAAAGGCUAUCCCCGAGUCAUCGGCAGGUUGGAUACGUGUUACUCACCCGUGCGCCGGUCGCCAU